GGCGGUAGCUCAGUGGUUGAGCACUUGCCUAGCAUGCAUUAGACACUGGGUUCGAUCUUCAGCACCA
rnacentral:tRNA from 1 species